CGCGGGUGGGAGGCGAUAGUCGUCUCGCCCGGCUCAUACCCGGGAGCAAGGUCGGUGCAAGUCCGACACCCGCUACCA
rnacentral:tRNA from 1 species